rnacentral:rRNA from 1 species
GACAGUCGAGCGGUAAGGCCCUUCGGGGUACACGAGCGGCGAACGGGUGAGUAACACGUGAGCAACCUGCCCCUGACUCCGGGAUAAGCGGUGGAAACGCCGUCUAAUACCGGAUACGACCCUCCUCCGCAUGGUGGGGGGUGGAAAGUUUUUUCGGUCGGGGAUGGGCUCGCGGCCUAUCAGCUUGUUGGUGGGGUAACGGCCUACCAAGGCGAUUACGGGUAGCCGGCCUGAGAGGGCGACCGGCCACACUGGGACUGAGACACGGCCCAGACUCCUGCGGGAGGCAGCAGUGGGGAAUAUUGCGCAAUGGGCGAAAGCCUGACGCAGCGACGCCGCGUGGGGGAUGACGGCCUUCGGGUUGUAAACCUCUUUUACCACUCACGCAGGCCCCACGUUUUCGUGGGGUUGACGGUAGGUGGGGAAUAAGGACCGGCUAACUACGUGCCAGCAGCCGCGGUAAUACGUAGGGUCCGAGCGUUGUCCGGAAUUAUUGGGCGUAAAGAGCUCGUAGGCGGCGUGUCGCGUCUGCUGUGAAAGACCGGGGCUUAACCCCGGUUCUGCAGUGGAUACGGGCAUGCUAGAGGUAGGUAGGGGAGACUGGAAUUCCUGGUGUAGCGGUGAAAUGCGCAGAUAUCAGGAGGAACACCGGUGGCGAAGGCGGGUCUCUGGGCCUUACCUGACGCUGAGGAGCGAAAGCAUGGGGAGCGAACAGGAUUAGAUACCCUGGUAGUCCAUGCCGUAAACGUUGGGCGCUAGGUGUGGGGACUUUCCACGGUUUCCGCGCCGUAGCUAAACGCAUUA